rnacentral:rRNA from 1 species
AACGAACGCUGGCGGCGUGUUUAAGACAUGCAAGUCGCACGGGAUAAGACAUGUAGUAAUACUUGUUUUAUUUAGUGGCGCACGGGUGAGUAACACGUGAAUUACAUGCCCUAUAGUGGGGAAUAGCCCAGGGAAACUUGGAUUGAUACCCCAUGGUAUCGAAAGAUUGAAGCUGGCCGCAAGGCUGUCGCUAUAGGAUUGGUUCGCGCCCUAUCAGCCUGUUGGUGAGGUAACGGCUCACCAAGGCAAUGACGGGUACCUGGUCUGAGAGGACGAUCAGGCACACUGGAACUGAGACACGGUCCAGACACCUACGGGUGGCAGCAGUCGAGAAUAAUUCACAAUGGGGGCAACCCUGAUGGUGCAACGCCGCGUGGAGGAUGACGGUCUUCGGAUUGUAAACUCCUGUCAUCUGGGAGAAAGACCUGACGGUAAAUAGCCGGCAGGGUUGAUAGUACCAGAAGAGGAAGGGACGGCUAACUUCGUGCCAGCCGCCGCAGUAA